AUUGAACGCUGGCGGCAUGCCUAACACAUGCAAGUCGAACGAGUGGCGGACGGGUGAGUAAUGUCUGGGAAACUGCCCGAUGGAGGGGGAUAACUACUGGAAACGGUAGCUAAUACCGCAUACCAUCGGAUGUGCCCAGAUGGGAUUCGCUAGUAGGUGGGGUAACGGGUCACCUAGGCGACGAUCCCUAGCUGGUCUGAGAGGAUGACCAGCCACACGGGAACUGAGACACGGUCCAGACUCCUACGGGAGGCAGCAGUGGGGAAUAUUGCGCAAUGGGCGAAAGCCUGAUGGAGCAAUGCCGCGUGUAUGAAGAAGGCCUUCGGGUUGUAAAGUACUUUCAGCGGGGAGGCGUUACUCGCAGAAGAAGCACCGGCUAACUCCGUGCCAGCAGCCGCGGUAAUUC
rnacentral:rRNA from 1 species